CUUACACAUGCAAGUCGAACGAUGAAGCCCAGCUUGCUGGGUGGAUUAGUGGCGAACGGGUGAGUAACACGUGAGUAACCUGCCCCCGACUCUGGGAUAAGCCCGGGAAACUGGGUCUAAUACCGGAUAUUACCUUUGACCGCAUGGUUGUUGGUGGAAAGAUUUAUCGGUGGGGGAUGGACUCGCGGCCUAUCAGCUUGUUGGUGAGGUAAUGGCUCACCAAGGCGACGACGGGUAGCCGGCCUGAGAGGGUGACCGGCCACACUGGGACUGAGACACGGCCCAGACUCCUACGGGAGGCAGCAGUGGGGAAUAUUGCACAAUGGGCGAAAGCCUGAUGCAGCGACGCCGCGUGAGGGAUGACGGCCUUCGGGUUGUAAACCUCUUUCAGUAGGGAAGAAGCGAAAGUGACGGUACCUGCAGAAGAAGCGCCGGCUAACUACGUGCCAGCAGCCGCGGUAAUACGUAGGGCGCAAGCGUUAUCCGGAUUUAUUGGGCGUAAAGAGCUCGUAGGCGGUUUGUCGCGUCUGCCGUGAAAGUCCGAGGCUCAACCUCGGAUCUGCGGUGGGUACGGGCAGACUAGAGUGAUGUAGGGGAGACUGGAAUUCCUGGUGUAGCGGUGAAAUGCGCAGAUAUCAGGAGGAACACCGAUGGCGAAGGCAGGUCUCUGGGCAUUUACUGACGCUGAGGAGCGAAAGCAUGGGGAGCGAACAGGAUUAGAUACCCUGGUAGUCCAUGCCGUAAACGUUGGGCACUAGGUGUGGGGGACAUUCCACGUUUUCCGCGCCGUAGCUAACGCAUUAAGUGCCCCGCCUGGGGAGUACGGCCGCAAGGCUAAAACUCAAAGGAAUUGACGGGGGCCCGCACAAGCGGCGGAGCAUGCGGAUUAAUUCGAUGCAACGCGAAGAACCUUACCAAGGCUUGACAUGUGCCAGACCGCCUCAGAGAUGGGGUUUCCCUUCGGGGCUGGUUCACAGGUGGUGCAUGGUUGUCGUCAGCUCGUGUCGUGAGAUGUUGGGUUAAGUCCCGCAACGAGCGCAACCCUCGUUCCAUGUUGCCAGCACGUAAAGGUGGGGACUCAUGGGAGACUGCCGGGGUCAACUCGGAGGAAGGUGGGGAUGACGUCAAAUCAUCAUGCCCCUUAUGUCUUGGGCUUCACGCAUGCUACAAUGGCCGGUACAAUGGGUUGCGAUACUGUGAGGUGGAGCUAAUCCCUAAAAGCCGGUCUCAGUUCGGAUUGGGGUCUGCAACUCGACCCCAUGAAGUCGGAGUCGCUAGUAAUCGCAGAUCAGCAACGCUGCGGUGAAUACGUUCCCGGGCCUUGUACACACCGCCCGUCAAGUCACGAAAGUUGGUAACACCCGAAGCCGAUGGCCUAACCACCUUGUGUGGGGGAGUCGUCGAA
rnacentral:rRNA from 1 species